AAAAGGUGUUAAGUUGCUUCUUUUCUUGAGUUUACAAGGGUUUCACGGUGAUUAGGCCACUUUGGAUGGAAAUUUUUGGAAGUACAUGUACUUGAACUGGGGACAUACUUGGAAAUCACGGUUUUGGAAGAAAAUGGUCAAGCUAGUAUAUAUGUCAUGUUGUUAAAUUCUUU